rnacentral:rRNA from 1 species
CUGGGAGUACGGUCGCAGAUUAAACUCAAGGAAUUGACGGGGCCCGCACAGCGGUGGAGCAUGUGUUUAAUUUGAAGCAACGCGCAGAACCUUACCAACCCUUGACAUCCCCGGACCGCCGGAGAGAUCCGGUUUUCUCGUAAGAGACCAGGAGACAGGUGCUGCAUGGCUGUCGUCAGCUCGUGUCGUGAGAUGUUCGGUUAAGUCCGGCAACGAGCGCAACCCACACUCUUAGUUGCCAGCAUUCAGUUGGGCACUCUAAGAGAACUGCCGAUGAUAAGUCGGAGGAAGGUGUGGAUGACGUCAAGUCCUCAUGGCCCUUACGGGUUGGGCUACACACGUGCUACAAUGGUGGUGACAAUGGGUUAAUCCCUAAAAGCCAUCUCAGUUCGGAUUGGGGUCUGCAACUCGACCCCAUGAAGUCGGAAUCGCUAGUAAUCGCGUAACAGCAUGACGCGGUGAAUACGUUCCCGGGCCUUGUACACACCGCCCGUCACACCAUGGGAGUUGGGUCUACCCGAAGGUGGUGCGCCAACCUGCAAAGGAGGCAGCCAACCACGGUAGGCUCAGCGACUGGGGUGAAGUCGUAACAUGGUAGCCGUAA